GCAAAAAUGACACCUAUUAAGAUUUUUUCAUAUCUUUUGUAACAAACCCACAUGCUGUCACUCAAAAACUCACAUGCACAUACACACUCUUAUUUUCUUGGCCACCAAUUAAUCCGUAUAUCUACAUGUAUAUAUCUACACGUAUAUAUCUUCCACUCACUCACACAAUUAAAAACACACAAAAAAAAAGGAGUGACGAGAGAGGGAAGGGGCAUCUGAAGAACAAAAAUAACACAAAAGAAAACGAGAGAAAAACAUAGAAUGGCAAAAGGAAAAAAAAACUCUAGAGAAAGGAGAGAAGCACAGCUUUGGGUUUGGGGGUUUUCUUCUUUCAUUUUUAUUGUUAUUGUUCUUCUUCAUCAUUCUUCUACACAACCAUGAACAUCACUUAAGAUCCAGCUAUAUAAAUCCACUUGAAAACUCCAUUAAAAUACCUCACAAGCUCCAAAAAUCAGCUGUUAUUUCCUCCAUAAUUUUAGCCAAAACGCAGCAGCAAAAAUGCCCCGAAACAGCCGUGAAUCCCAGCUCAAAACCAUCCAAAAAUGCCUGAAAAUACAUCCAAAACCAGCAGUAUAGUCCAGCCAUGAACCACCCUUAAACAGCCCCCAAACAAUCCAAAAUCUCAGCCCAAAAGAUACGGCCAAAGUCAGCUUCAAACUAAUCCAAAAAUCUGCCGCGAAACACCAUGAAAAUCCUUCCAAAACGGCUAUUAGUAACAAAACGGGGGUCUAAGGUUUCCUGUCGAAGUUCCGGUCGAAGGUGCGUAGUCAAUUUGGUUCGAGUUGCUGUCCACUUUUGCUCUUUGGUGUUGUAUUCAAAGGCUUUUCCCUUUUAAUAAAAGUUCGGAAGAAAAAUUUCUACUUAAAGGUCCAUUACUCAUCCUCCCUUUGCUAUUUAGUGCUUAGAUUAUGUUGAUAUAUGAAUAUUUUUAAGACCCAGUUAUUUGCUUCGUUGACUUGGUACUUUGAGGCAUGGAUUGAAUUAAUUACAUGAAUUUUAGAAUCAUGUUUCAGUUUGAUUAAGUACUCUAGAGUUAUAAUCAUAAUCUGUCAUAGCUUGGUUUUCUAGCAAUUGGUUGUGGGUUAAAGUUAACUCAUUAAAUUGUUGGGCCAUGUGGUUUUAAAUGUCACACAAACAAGGUUGGGCCGUAGGGUGUUAGAAUUGCUUUGAUUUUGUUUGUUGGGUUGUGGCGUAAUCCUGAAGUGGAGAUGAGAUUUUGGCCCAAUGAGUUUAGUUUGCCGGCCCAAUAAUUCUACUAUUUCCAUAAAAGCUGGCCCAUUUUACCAUAAUAGAUAAAUGCCUCGUAGCUUCGAAACCAUAAAUACUUUAGUAGUUCAUCUCGAUAAUAAUUUAUAGUGAUCAAUUAGUAUACUUCAUCCACAAAGUGAUUUCCAUAACCUUUGGCCUCACAAUAAUCUCAAAUUACUUUAGGAAAAUAAUUCAAAUGCGCUAGUUGCUUUAGGCACGAUUAAUAAAUAAAUCAUCGUGAUUAUGGAUACGGUUCUCUAUCCCUCGAAAAAAGGAGAUGUGACAGGGACUGAAACUGCUUUUACACGGUGGUUAAUGGUGGACUGCCUUAUACCUUACAUGGAGACAACCUUCAUUUUUGGUUUCUCAAAGAGCAAAUUUUGAGCUCAACGGCCUCGAUUAGGAGUGGCAAACUGGCGGGUCGGGUCGGAUAUGAUUCGGGUCGAAAACGGGUAAUGAAAAAACGGAUAAUUUAUCCGACCCGAUCCAUAUUUAAUACGGAUAAAAAAGAGUUAACCGGCGGAUAAUAUGGGUAACCAUUUUAUCCGUGACUUCUUGAAUAUGAUCAUUUUGGGGAGAAUUCCUAGUCUCCCAAAGUUGAGGAACCCCAAAUUUGAGGCUAUACAAAUGUAAAAGUUAAACUCAUUAGUUACUCAUUGAUUAUCCAUUUUCUAAAUGGAUAAUAUGGUUCUUAUCCAUAUUUGACCCGUUUUUGAAAAGUUCAUUAUUCAACCCAUUUUUUAAUGAAUAAUAUGGGUGAUUAACUAUUUUCUUUUAACCAUUUUACCAUCACUAGCCUGAUCUUUCGUUAUUUGAUCAAAAGAAGUUAAAAUUAUACUGGAUAGCAAGAACAUUAUACACGCUUACCAUGUGUUUGAGGAACGUUCACUGUGAAAAUCCAAAAGCUACGCAUAAACUGGAUAGCUACAGACUCUAGUUAUGAUGCUUGCCAAGAAACAUAGGUUAGUACUCCUGGGACCAUUUUGUCAUUUGUUUGUCAAUUUCUUCUUUUUAUACUCCAUUACUUUGUGUUGCAUUCCAAAGACUUGAUUAGUUUAAUCAUCUGGUCAAGUGGAUUAAGGCUUAAGAAAUAGAUAUAUACAAACUUCCAUAUUUGCAAAGGAAAGAGAAUAGCUGAUAGAAUCAUCUUCACAAAGAUUGACCCCUAAUCUUAUCAAGAUAAAUCACCUUUGCUCCAGCUAAGUCCAAGUUGAGAAUUUAUAUAGCAAAAUAAUUGAACAUGAUAAAAAGAACUUUGCAAAGAUAUAUCUUAAUUACUACAUAAUACUAUGUAUAUCCAGUCAAAUCUCUUUAUAACAGCCUCGUUUGUUCCGAUACUUUUUGACUGCUAUAGUGAAGUGUUGUUAUAGAGGACAUAUAUUAUAACAUAACAUAAAAAUCGGUUCCGAGAAAAAACUUGGCUUUUAUAGGAAUGAUUGUUAUAUAGGAAUACUGUUAUAUAGAGGUUUGACUGUAUACCACCAGCUCCCCCGUAUAAAACAUAAUGCGGGAACCUUUGGAUCAUCGACAAAUACAAGUGUUUUCUCUACAUAAUUGUCUCUGGUUUAUCAUUUAAAGUUAGAAGUCCCCUGCAAUAAGCAUCAUAGGUAGAGUGUAUACAAGGAAAAUCUAGGGAGCCCAUUGGAGGUUCAGGUACACCUCGAGGACUGUAUGCCACUACUCCCCCACUCAACAUUAUUAGUAAAGUUUCCCAAUGUGGUGAAAACCUGAGGCCAAAAAUUGACUUGUGACGAUCCGGCCGGUCGUCUUGAGAGUUAUAGUCCCGAUCCCCUAUUAACUGUUUCUCUCAUAUCUAUUUCUGCUAUUGUGACUUACCGGGAGGUUUUGGUUUUAGUUUUUGGAGUGUUUUGGGACACUUAGUCCCUAAAUAGAGGUUUAAGCCUUAGGAUUGGCACCGUAGUCGGAACUGUGUGAAGACGACGCUGGAAUGGAAUUCCGUCGAUUUCGUUAAUUUCGUUGUGUGAUUUUGGGCUUAGGGGCGUGUCCGGAUUGUGUUUUGGAAGUCCGUAGCUCAUUUAGGCUUGAAAUAGCAAAAGUCAAAUUUUUGGAGUUUUGGACUGGAAGUGGAAUUUGUUGAUAUCGGGGUCGGAUUCUGAUUCUGGAAGUUGGAAUAGGUCCGUAGUAUUGAAUAUGACUUGUGUGAAAAAUUUGAGGUCAAUCGGACGUGGUUUGGUUGGUUUCGACAUCGGUUGUCGAAUUUGAAAGUUUCAAGCUUCUUUAAGUUUCAAUUGGGGGGUGAUUUGUAAUUUUAGCGUUGUUUGAUGUGAUUUGAGGGCUCGACUAAGUUCAUAUGGUGUUUUAGGAUUGGUUGGUAUGUUUGGUUGAGGUCCCGGGGGCUUCGGGUGUGUUUCGGGUGCUUAACGGAUGAAUUUUGGACUUAGGAAAAUUGCUGAGUUUUUGCUGGUUCUGGUGUUCCGCACCUGCAGAGAGGAGACCGCAGGUGCGGGCUCGCACGUGUGGAGGAACAGGCGCAGAUGCGGAAUUUGGAGGCUUGACCAGGGGUCACAGGGGCGAGGAAUUUUCGCAUCUGCGAUGCCCGCAGAUGCACCCAAAUGAUUUGCAGGCGCGGAGGAAGACCGCAUAAGCAGACAGUAUUCCGCAGGCGUGCACGCACAGGUGCGGCCCCCACUUUCACAGAUGCGGACCCAACCCUCUUAAGUGAUUUCCGCACCUGCGAGGAAUUUUCUGCAGAUGCGGCGUCGCAGGUGCGACCUAUGGCCCGCAGGUGCGAAGAUCGCUGGGCAGAAAAGGGGCAGAAUCGAGGGUUGAGGUUCAUAUUCACAAAUUUGAUUUUUGAGCUCGGGAGAAGGCGAUUUCUUGAGGGAUUUUCAGAGAAAGCUUUGGGGUAACGAUUCCUAACUUGAUUUUGAUCAUAUUUCAUUAAUCUAUUUUUGUUUUCUUCAUUUAAUUAAGGAAUUUGAGUGAGAAAGUUAGGAGAAUGGGGGAAAAGUUCCCCAACCGAAUUUCUGAGUUUUGAGUGGGAUUUAGACAUCGGAUUUGGAUAAUUUUGGUACGAGUGAUCUCGUGAGUGAAUGAGUGUUCAUAUUUGAUAACUUUUACCCGAUUCCGAGACGUGGGUCCGGGGAUAUUUUUUUGGGCGUUUUUCUAAUUUCUUGCCUUAGCUUUGAUUUCGUUAACUAGACUAGUUUCUUGUAGCUAUUUUUAUGUUAUGUAAUUAGUUUUGGCUAGAUUUGAGCCAUUUGGAGUCGGAUAUUCGUGGAAAGAGCAUUGUGACAGAUUGAUUUGAGCUUGGUUCGAGGUAGAUGGCUUGCCUAACCUUGUGCGGGGAAAUUUCCCUUAGGAUUUGGUACUGUUUGAUAUGUGAGCGUCGUGUACAUGAGGUGACAAGUAUGUACACAGGCUAUUUGUUGUAAAACUCCAUUUUUUUUACUAAGUCAUAACUUGUUUUCUCCUUACUUGAAACACACCAGCAUAUGUAACUAUCCUGUUUAGACUAGAAUAGCACGCCUACUUGUUUAACUGCCUAUUUGAACUCUGUGCAGCAUGUUUAAUGAAAUUUCCUGCUUUCCUUGACUUGAACUUAGUCUAAACUAUAGGAUUUCUUGCUGUAAUUAUUAUUUCGGUUGGUUACGCUGCAUAUUUAUUUUGGGACUACAGAACGGUAUUGCGGGAGAUCCCCAUGUACUGCAUAUUUACUUUGGAACUACGAAACGGUAUUUCGGGAGAUUCCCCUGUUUUGCAUAUUUAUUUUGGGACUACGGAACGGUAUUCCGGGAGAUCCCCCUGCACAUUUACGUUUGGGAAUACGAGACGGUAUCUCGGGAGAUCCCCUGUAGUUAUCACUGUGUUCUGAGCUGUUGUCUUUCAUUGAUUCUAUUCCUGUUAGAUUUCUGCAUUUAUUUUACUGCGAUAUUUCAUUCUGUCUUAUUUCAUUAUAUUUAUAACAGUAGGGCCCUGACCUGAUCUCGUCAAUACUCGUAUGCAGAUCCAGGUUCAUCUGGUGUACUCACGCCCUUUCCUGCACAUAUUUUUUGUGUGCAGAUCGAGGUUCAUCUUACCAGCCUCAUCACUAGUUGCAGCCGCUGCUUCUUAUUGGAGAUUUCAAGGUACAUCUGCUCGCGCCCGCAGAUCCUCGGAGUCCCCCUCUAUCUCCCUAUGUUCAUUUUUUUCCCUCUUUCUGUAGAAAUGAUGUAUAAAAUAGUUAAGACUUCUUAGUAGCUUGUGACUUGCGAGUUUUCGGGUUUUGGGAAAUAUGUUUUUUUUUUCCGUACUUUCCAGAGGUGAUAAUUGUAUAUGCUGAGUGGCAUUCAGUUGCUUAUUAGAUAUAGUUACUGUUAGUAGUUAAUGUUCGUGUUUUUAUUUCAUUUUCGCAAAGUGUUAGGCUUACCUAGUCGUAGAGAUUAGGUGCCGUCAUGACGGUUCACGGAGGGAGAAAUUGGGUCGUGACAUGACUUGUGUAUAAUUUUCUCCAGAGCAGU
rnacentral:lncRNA from 1 species